AUCUGCAAUUAGAAAGAUCCCAGUAUGGGCAUGGGGACAUAUUUCUUUGGAACGUCUUAUCAGCUGAACUGACAUCAGCGUCCCUAAAACGUACCAAAAAAAUGCCCGCGUGCCCACCCGGCUCUUUUUAAUGUAGAUUUCGAUAGUAUAGUGACAGCUAUUUUAAUUAGGUCCUAUAACAGAGAGAAAAUAGUCAUAACAGGCAUGACUAACUGUAUUAGUAAUUUUGGGGCGUCUUUAGGACCAGCCAUGCGGACAUCUUUAAGACAAGUUUAGACCAGACAUAGAACGUCUUUAAGAGGUCCCAAGGACGUCUUUAGGAUGUUCCGGUGCCCACUGGGAAGCGACUCUUUGCGUCUACAAAUGAGUCGACGUGACGUCACGCGGCACAACAGUAGAUCUUUUGAAGGGGAAACACGAUUUUGAGGCUGCGCUCGAGUCGCGAGCGGUUCGACAAAGGAAUCAUACAUGGUCCGAAGUCGAGAUAUCGUGUCAGCCAGUUUCAAACAGAGAUUCACUUCAGGCUGAUGCACAGUGUAUCAAAAAACGUCUUUUUUGGAUAAAAAUCGACUGACAGAGCAAUUCACUUCAGGCUACUGCACAGUGUGUCAAGAACCACCUUCUAGGGAUAAAAAUCGACCCGUCGUUCAUCAAAAGGGCGUCGACAAUACCCCCCGGCCACCCCACUUAAGUGGAGCAUCCAUUGAUACCAAAAGGCAGAUUUCACCUGCCAAUAUCCAAG